rnacentral:rRNA from 1 species
UACGGAGGGUGCGAGCGUUGUCCGGAAUCACUGGGCGUAAAGGGCGCGUAGGCGGCGCGGAUAGUCGGCGGUGAAAGCCCGGAGCUCAACUCCGGGUCGGCCGUCGAUACUUCCGGGCUUGAGCACUGUAGAGGCAGAUGGAAUUCCGGGUGUAGCGGUGGAAUGCGUAGAGAUCCGGAAGAACACCGGUGGCGAAGGCGGUCUGCUGGGCAGUUGCUGACGCUGAUGCGCGACAGCGUGGGGAGC